UCUGGAAACUNUCUGACUUGAGUGCAGAAGGGGAGAGUGGAAUUCCAUGUGUAGCGGUGAAAUGCGUAGAUAUAUGGAGGAACACCAGUGGCGAAAGCGGCUCUCUGGUCUGUCACUGACGCUGAGGCUCGAAAGCGUGGGUAGCGAACAGGAUUAGAUACCCUGGUAGUCCACGCCGUAAACGAUGAGUGCUAGGUGUUAGGCCCUUUCCGGGGCUUAGUGCCGGAGCUAACGCAAUAAGCACUCCGCCUGGGGAGUACGACCGCAAGGUUGAAACUCAAAGGAAUUGACGGGGGCCCGCACAAGCGGUGGAGCAUGUGGUUUAAUUCGAAGCAACGCGAAGAACCUUACCAGGUCUUGACAUCCCGAUGCUAUUCUUAGAGAUAGGAAGUUACUUCGGUACAUCGGAGACAGGUGGUGCAUGGUUGUCGUCAGCUCGUGUCGUGAGAUGUUGGGUUAAGUCCCGCAACGAGCGCAACCCUUAUUGUUAGUUGCCAUCAUUAAGUUGGGCACUCUAGCGAGACUGCCGGUAAUAAACCGGAGGAAGGUGGGGAUGACGUCAAAUCAUCAUGCCCCUUAUGACCUGGGCUACACACGUGCUACAAUGGUCGGUACAACGAGUUGCGAGCCGGUGACGGCAAGCUAAUCUCUGAAAGCCGAUCUCAGUUCGGAUUGGAGGCUGCAACUCGCCUCCAUGAAGUCGGAAUCGCUAGUAAUCGCGGAUCAGCACGCCGCGGUGAAUACGUUCCCGGGCCUUGUACACACCGCCCGUCACACCACGAGAGUUUGUAACACCCGAAGUCGNUGAGGUA
rnacentral:rRNA from 1 species